rnacentral:rRNA from 1 species
GACAGAGGGUGCAAACGUUGCUCGGAAUUACUGGGCGUAAAGGGCGUGUAGGCGGGAAGGCAAGUCGGGCGUGAAAGCCCCAGGCUCAACCUGGGAACUGCACUCGAAACUGCCUUUCUUGAGUGCCGGAGAGGAAAGCGGAAUUCCUGGUGUAGAGGUGAAAUUCGUAGAUAUCAGGAGGAACACCAGUGGCGAAGGCGGCUUUCUGGACGGUAACUGACGCUGAGACGCGAAAGCGUGGGGAGCAAACGG